UACAGAGGUCCCGAGCGUUGUUCGGAUUCACUGGGCGUAAAGGGUGCGUAGGUGGUUGUGCAAGUCUGAUGUGAAAUCUCCGGGCUUAACCCGGAAAUGGCAUUGGAAACUGCAUGGCUAGAGGGUUGGAGGGGGGACUGGAAUACUUGGUGUAGCAGUGAAAUGCGUAGAUAUCGGGAGGAACACCAGUGGCGAAGGCGACUACCUGGCCUGUUCUUGAUCGCUGAGGCGCGAAAGCUAGGGGAGCAAACGGG
rnacentral:rRNA from 1 species